rnacentral:pre_miRNA from 1 species
CUCUCCCACGGUCGGUCACCCCGGCGAAGGCCGGGGCCCAUCUUGAGAUCUCGGGAUAGACCCCGGCCUUCGCCGGGGUGACAAUCGAGUUUAGG